UACGUAGGGACCAAGCGUUGUUCGGAUUUACUGGGCGUAAAGGGCGCGUAGGCGGCGCGGUAAGUCACUUGUGAAAUCUCUGAGCUUAACUCAGAACGGCCAAGUGAUACUGCAGUGCUAGAGUGUGGAAGGGGCAAUCGGAAUUCUUGGUGUAGCGGUGAAAUGCGUAGAUAUCAAGAGGAACACCUGAGGUGAGGACGGGUUGCUGGGCCAACACUGACGCUGAGGCGCGAAAGCCAGGGGAGCAAACGGG
rnacentral:rRNA from 1 species